rnacentral:rRNA from 1 species
GACCUUAGUUGCCAGCAUUCAGUUGGGCACUCAAGGUGACUGCGCUAAAAGUCGGAGGAAGGUGGGGAUGACGUCAAAUCAUCAUGCCCCUUAUGACCUGGGCUACACACGUGCUACAAUGGGCGGUACAAAGGGUCGCGAACCCGCGAGGGGGAGCCAAUCCCAAAAAGCCGCUCUCAGUUCGGAUUGCAGGCUGCAACUCGCCUGCAUGAAGCCGGAAUCGCUAGUAAUCGCGGAUCAGCAUGCCGCGGUGAAUACGUUCCCGGGCCUU